GGGUUUCAUGACAUUCUCAACAACUAAGGAUCGACAUAUUAUUUACAAGGCUAGAGAUGUUCUUGAACUUCUGUUAAGCCCUCACUGGCAAUAGAAGUGCUGAAUGGCAGGCUGAAGCAUGAUAUCAUCAAGGCCUGGGUAUUUUAAUGGUGGGAUUGGUUCAGAAUUGAAGAUUGAUAAGGAGACGUUCGUUAAGCAGACUGGACAUUUCAAAGCCUCUUUACAGGAUCUUGCUGAUGUGCCGCAUUGUUAUAUUUAUACCAAUGGAAACAUUGUUGCUGCUCUGGCGACUGAAAAUGGAUGAUUAAGCUUGGUCAGGGAAGUGGUUACACGCUGCAUUGCUAGCAAUGAGGAUCCAGCAAGUAUGAUCCAGGAGUUUAAAAGAACAAGAGUUUGAUCAUCUGUUGGGACUUUUGAAGAAUGGUUUAGGUUUAGGAGUUUGAUCAUCUGUCGGACUUUUGAAGUCUAGUUUUAGGGUGGACUUUUGAAGUUUAGUUUUAGGGUGUACUGUCUAGUGCCCACUACUGGAGUAGUAAUAUUUGUUAAUGGUAUCUGCUUGAGGACCAAAGCUCUGGCUUUUAGCUUUUAGCUUGUGUGAAUGACAUUUGCAGAUUGUUCUUCACAA